rnacentral:rRNA from 1 species
UACGGAGGGUGCGAGCGUUGUCCGGAAUCACUGGGCGUAAAGGGCGCGUAGGCGGCCGAGCAAGGUCGCGGUGAAAGCCCGGGGCUCAACCCCGGGUCGGCCGUGGCAACUACUCGGCUCGAGCACUGUAGGGGCGGGUGGAAUUCCGGGUGUAGCGGUGGAAUGCGUAGAGAUCCGGAAGAACACCGGUGGCGAAGGCGGCAUCCUGGACCAAUUCUGACGCUGAGGAGCGAAAGCCAGGGGAGCAAACGGG